rnacentral:rRNA from 1 species
CCUGGACAUGCAAGUCGAGCGAACAGAAGGGAGCUUGCUCCCGGAUGUUAGCGGCGGACGGGUGAGUAACACGUGGGUAACCUGCCUGUAAGACUGGGAUAACUCCGGGAAACCGGAGCUAAUACCGGAUAGUUCCUUGAACCGCAUGGUUCAAGGAUGAAAGACGGUUUCGGCUGUCACUUACAGAUGGACCCGCGGCGCAUUAGCUAGUUGGUGGGGUAAUGGCUCACCAAGGCGACGAUGCGUAGCCGACCUGAGAGGGUGAUCGGCCACACUGGGACUGAGACACGGCCCAGACUCCUACGGGAGGCAGCAGUAGGGAAUCUUCCGCAAUGGACGAAAGUCUGACGGAGCAACGCCGCGUGAGUGAUGAAGGUUUUCGGAUCGUAAAGCUCUGUUGUUAGGGAAGAACAAGUGCGAGAGUAACUGCUCGCACCUUGACGGUACCUAACCAGAAAGCCACGGCUAACUACGUGCCAGCAGCCGCGGUAAUACGUAGGUGGCAAGCGUUGUCCGGAAUUAUUGGGCGUAAAGGGCUCGCAGGCGGUUUCUUAAGUCUGAUGUGAAAGCCCCCGGCUCAACCGGGGAGGGUCAUUGGAAACUGGGAAACUUGAGUGCAGAAGAGGAGAGUGGAAUUCCACGUGUAGCGGUGAAAUGCGUAGAGAUGUGGAGGAACACCAGUGGCGAAGGCGACUCUCUGGUCUGUAACUGACGCUGAGGAGCGAAAGCGUGGGGAGCGAACAGGAUUAGAUACCCUGGUAGUCCACGCCGUAAACGAUGAGUGCUAAGUGGUUAGGGGGUUUCCGCCCCUUAGUGCUGCAGCUAACGCAUUAAGCACUCCGCCUGGGGGAGUACGGUCGCAAGACUGAAACUCAAAGGAAUUGACGGGGGCCGCACAAGCG